AGACCCGAAACCCGGUGAUCUAGCCAUGGGCAGGUUGAAGGUUGGGUAACACUAACUGGAGGACCGAACCGACUAAUGUUGAAAAAUUAGCGGAUGACCUGUGGCUGGGGGUGAAAGGCCAAUCAAACCGGGAGAUAGCUGGUUCUCCCCGAAAGCUAUUUAGGUAGCGCCUCGUGAAUUCAUCUCCGGGGGUAGAGCACUGUUUCGGCUAGGGGGCCAUCCCGGCUUACCAACCCGAUGCAAACUGCGAAUACCGGAGAAUGUUAUCACGGGAGACACACGGCGGGUGCUAACGUCCGUCGUGAAGAGGGAAACAACCCAGACCGCCAGCUAAGGUCCCAAAGUCAUGGUUAAGUGGGAAACGAUGUGGGAAGGCCCAGACAGCCAGGAUGUUGGCUUAGAAGCAGCCAUCAUUUAAAGAAAGCGUAAUAGCUCACUGGUCGAGUCGGCCUGCGCGGAAGAUGUAACGGGGCUAAACCAUGCACCGAAGCUGCGGCAGCGACGCUUAUGCGUUGUUGGGUAGGGGAGCGUUCUGUAAGCCUGUGAAGGUGGCCUGUGAGGGUUGCUGGAGGUAUCAGAAGUGCGAAUGCUGACAUAAGUAACGAUAAAGCGGGUGAAAAGCCCGCUCGCCGGAAGACCAAGGGUUCCUGUCCAACGUUAAUCGGGGCAGGGUGAGUCGACCCCUAAGGCGAGGCCGAAAGGCGUAGUCGAUGGGAAACGGGUUAAUAUUCCCGUACUUGGUGUUACUGCGAAGGGGGGACGGAGAAGGCUAUGUUGGCCGGGCGACGGUUG
rnacentral:rRNA from 1 species